rnacentral:tRNA from 1 species
GAUCCCGUAGCUCAGCUGGAUAGAGCACCUGCCUUCUAAGCAGGCGGCCGUUGGUUCGAAUCCAACCGGGAUCG